AUAUAAUUUUUGGUCCUUGUUGACAAUUAAUGUAAUUUUUAAAUAAUGUUCAAGUUAAGAGUUUGGCAGCUGAAACAAAAUAUGCCCGAGGCUGGACACUCAUAGAAACCUCUUGUCACUAACUGGAUGGAGACCUCCCAUUCCCUGAGAACUCAUGGGGAGGAAUCUAUGGAGCCUGGAGGCAUUGUGGAGGUCUGCAGGACACAGGGAAGAACUCUCCCAUCAUGCAAGGGAGAAAAUGCAAUGCUCUACUGGCCUCUGUCAGGGAAGCUAACAUUUCCCCCUCUCCCGUGCAAGUUUUCCAAACCACAGGAUUCUGAUUUCCAGAGGAGAGGAACAGCUUUUUAAGAGUGAGGCCCUCAAACCUUUCCAGGCUGCCUGGACAAAGGUUUGGAAUGACUACAAUAGUGAACCAUCCUGCCUUGGACCCGAAUCUAGAUUGAUGACCUAAUACAUCUCUGCCUGCCAUAGCUUUAUGAGCAUCAAGAACUGGGCGCUUGCCACUAUCAACAAACAGAGCUUCCCCAGAGCUUAGCCAUCCACAGAAACUCAAGUAUCCCCCCAAGCACCGCUCACACAGCCUCCCCGGGCUCGCCGCGCUUCCUCUAGCUUUCACCACAUGUGACAUGGAAACUCCUCUUUGCCAGGAUCACUCUUAAAGGAAAGGAAGUAUGCCCGUUCCUCUCCGGUGUCAUCUUGGUUUUUUAACAGAGCGAUCACUGAGAAGCUAAGGCAGCUUAGUCUCAGCAUCCUCCUUCUCCAGGGCCCCUCAUUUUGUAUUUGUACCUUUGCAUUCUUUUUUUGUCAAAAAGAAUCCCCUCAGUUGUAGAAGCUAUAGACCAUCCCCUCCACGCUCCGCUCCCCCAAAUUGGGAUCUGCUCUUCAACCCAAGAGAACUGACACUAAGUCUUAUCUUGAUGACAGUGUAAAAAUUGAACACAAACUCUUUCUCGUCUUUUAUGGACAUCACCUACCCCUGGCCUGUCACCAGGAAGGAUGAGAUCUCUUAGUUUGAGCCUCUGGUCCUCAG